UGGCCGAAUGGUUAAGCUGUCCGCUUCGUAAGCAGAUGAUCAUGGGUUCGAUUCCCAU
rnacentral:tRNA from 1 species